GGGCCCGCACAAGCAGUGGAGCAUGUGGUUUAAUUCGAUGCAACGCGAAGAACCUUACCAGGCCUUGACAUCCUCGGAACUUUCUAGAGAUAGAUUGGUGCCUUCGGGAACCGAGUGACAGGUGCUGCAUGGCUGUCGUCAGCUCGUGUCGUGAGGUGUUGGGUUAAGUCCCGUAACGAGCGCAACCCCUAUCCUUAGUUGCCAGCACGUAAUGGUGGGAACUCUAAGGAGACUGCCGGUGACAAACCGGAGGAAGGAGAGGAUGAUGUCAAGUCAUCAUGGCCCUUACGGCCUGGGCUACACACGUGCUACAAUGGGCAGUACAGAGGGCCGCGAACCCGCGAGGGGGAGCCAAUCCGACAAACCUAGUCGUAGUCCGGAUCGGAGUCUGCAACUCGACUCCGUGAAGUCGGAAUU
rnacentral:rRNA from 1 species